GGAAUGGGCUGUUUGGGA
rnacentral:miRNA from 1 species